AUUCAAGCUCUUGUGAUUGAACAUGGCUAGAGAAUGGUUCUUUGUACCUGUAAGAAGUGAGCAAUCCUUCCACUAAGAUUUUGCUUCUAGCCUUGGGGAGAACUUCCACAAUGAAAACUACAGCUUUGUGUACACAAAGUUUCCCAGGUAGUUUGGCAGUGGGUUCUAAAGAAGGCUUGCUUACGGUGGAAAAUUACACUAUGGUAGAAGGAAGCUUUGACGACCUGUAAUAGCUAACGUGAAAUUAAGCACAUAACAUGAACAGAGAAGCGUGAACCAGCAGACGUGAUAGUGUAUCAUAGUUUUGUACACUGAAUGCAAGGUCCAAAUGAAUUUCUUAAGUGUUGCAAGUCCUCAGGACCACAGACUAACCAGAUGUUGUUCUGCAGCACUGAGUAGCCCUUUAGUACAAUUGCUUCUUCGCUCCCAAAGCCUGAACAUCUGGAUUUAUGGUGACAAAAGCAAUCCAGCAAGGAAGGGUAUGAAAAAUGGUAUCCCUGUGUAUUAGAAAAGAGGUAUGGUCUGAGUCACAGCACAUGUAAGGGCCACUCUGGCAUCCCCCAACUGUCUCAUCCCUCAAUAACAGUACCACUACUACUCUCCUCUGUCGGGAACCACUGCUCAGUGACUGCUUCUCAGCAUAAACACCUUUAAAAGCCCCUCUGCCAUCAUCUGUAAACAGUGAUCCACCAGCCACUCUCAAUGGGAACUACUGAUAUUAACCCCUACCAUUCUGCCCUAGUAUCAGCUUAUUCAUUAACUUUUUAUGUUUUAGGUACGUCUGUUAAUUUUCACGUACCACUGCCCACCCCUCUGGGCAGAACGUACAACCCUUGUGUUACAGGACCAUAAAAAAAACUAUAGCUGGAGGAGAUGCAGCAGCAAUAGAGAUGACCACUGUCUUCCUGAGACAAUUAUGAGUUUUGGUGCCUCUUGAAGGAGCCAUAUGGACCCUACUCACACAGCUUCACCUCUGCUUGAAGUGCCUGAUAAUGUUCUGCUAAGUCAGGGUGAGGAGGGGAAGGUGGAUGGAUGGUUCUGAGAACUGGGCUGACGCUGGUGCGUGUCGUUCUGCCAGACCAGGAGGAACUGAACUGAGCGUCAACAUGUUUGUGACUGACAUGCUUGUGACUGCUUCCCAUUGUGGAACAAAAUGUGUAAAAGCUCAGAUCCUGAACUGGAGCAUGCCAGGUGCACCACAGCCAGUUGGUGGAUGAAUGCAUAGCCAUACAG